rnacentral:lncRNA from 1 species
AUUUCCAGUGGAUGCAAUAGUGCCGACCAUGUGCACAUGGGGUCAGGAUCUCAGGCCCGCCAGCUGGACUACAGCAAGUACCCAUGGUCUCAGGGAAAAGGUCCCCUGCUGCAGGCUGUGGGGGACCUCGGCUCUCACAGUGGCUAUGCCUGAGAAAGCCCCUCCAGACUCGCCAACCUGGCCCGCGCGUCCUGUCCGGAGGGCAGGGUGGGGCUGGUGCUGGUUACAGAUGAUCCUCAAGGGCACAGCACGCAAGCCACCAGGCGCCCCUCCUGCAGCUGGGUCAGAGAGAGGCACUGGGAGCCUGGCUCCCUCCAGGUCAGUCUCCACCAGGGCCACCCCGGUGACCUGCAGGAGAGGAAGGCAGACGAGGAGUGGCCCUGCCCCUUAGGGCGCAUCGUGCAGGUGGCACAAGGGGGUCAUCUGCAUCCUGGUCAAGGGGGAGCCCACCUGCCUCCUCCAGGUCGGGAACACUCCCUGGAGGCCAUGGUGUGGAGCGUCCACCCGGGCUUCGUCCUCCAGCUCAGCUGCUGGGCCCUGGGAAGGGACAGGCCCAGCACCCGUUCAGCCGGGCUGAGCCGCAGGCAGAGCGCCUUGCCUGGGAGAGACAAACCCACCGCUGAGGACACACCCUCAAGGUUCACCCUUCCCCACUUCUGUGUUGCCCUUAGCUCUAAGGUGCUAAUUCCAUCUCUAGUUUCAACAGGCUGAUUGCUCUUAAGGGAAAAUGGGGUUGCACAAUCCGGCUGUGGUGGCCGGGGCUCUUGGUCUCCCCCCAGUAAGAGGAUGGACUUUCCAGCCCUGCUGAUGGUCAGCGGGGACCACGUGGAGGCUUUGGCAGAUGAAAUGGGGCACAUGACAUAGCCCUGCCCCAGUGGAAGCCUCAGAGCCAUGGCUGGGCUCCACCAGGCUUGCUCCAGCGGCCAUGAGGACCAUGCCCCACAGGCAGGGGCUGCACCUCCACCCUGGUUCCAGAAGGAAGAGGCACAGCCGACAUGCCGCUCGAGCAGGAAACCCUGGGGAAGGUGGGACAUGAGAUCCUGUGUCUGAUACUACAGUGUAACCGGCUAGAAACUGACUCAAAGGGGCAUUUUUACAGCAGAAAGAGGCGAAGCACACGUGCAUCUGCCAUCCUGUGAUUGUCAGGCCCCGUUUAGGAGUGGACAGCUCCAUGGUUGUGUUUGAGCCCCACACCGGCCCUGGGGGGUUAUACUGCCCUGGAGGACAGCUGACCUCAGUUCUCCAAGCUUCCAUUCCCCCUUGUAUGGGCACAGCACCCCAACCUUCUUUUGGCAGCUCCCACGCCCCCCAGUGCUGGUGGGCUCUAGGGCUCUGGUCCCUGAUGCUCAGAGGCACAGAGACAGCAUUCCUCAGGGGCCCUGAUCCUCUGGCCCGGUUCAGACUGUGGUGGGGCCUCGGGACCUUUCCAGAACCUUGGAAGUGGGUAGCACCCUUUGCUGGGACAGACAUGCCUGGAGCUCCGGGCAUUGGGCCACUGCUGGGAUAAGCCCACGACAGAAUGAAGCCGGGCAGGCAGAAAGAGCUGCGGGCUCCCUGGCCACUCCUGUUUCCGUAAAGGGCCUGGUGUCUCAUUUCCUACUUACCUUGGACUUUAAGGGCCUCCUGCAGCCUUUGUCACACACUCUUCUUAUUUUUUUGUCCAUUACAACCUUUUACGGCGGCACAAGCCAUUGUUCUCAGGGCCAACGCGUGAGUCCUGUGGUGAGUUUCCUAUUAGUGUGGCUCGAGAAGGUACCCCGUGCUGACGAAGCCUGGAGAGGCAGGGCCACACUGCAGAGCCUCAGGCCAAGGGUGGCGGUGCUGGGGUCUCAUGAGCCCAGGGUUCACUGCCCACCAGGCGGCAUUAGCCUGCGGCUUUGGCGCCCAGAAGUCCCGACAGGCAGCAAAGUCUCCUGCUCCUGGCUGCUGGCCAGGAGAGCCCAGCUGGGCCUCACCUGAUCGAGAGGAAACGCCUGUGUCCUCUAAUCAGCAUCUCACUGACAGAGUCACCCCUGGUACAGCAAGUGGGCUUUCAAGGACAUCAGGUGGCUGCAUUCAGGCUGGUAACAACACCGCCCUCAGCUCUCACAGUCUGAGGAAGCCCCCUGAAAAGUCACUGGAGUGGGGCUGCAGGAACCCCACAAAGGCCUUUCCUGCUCCUGAAUAAUUCCCAAGCACCUAGGACUUCCCGGGCCUGGCUUCUCCGCCAGUCCAACCUCCGGACCUGAAGACCAAGCAGUGCCCAAGUGUGAGGUCCCUGGAGAAGGAGGAGGAAGAGUGGAAGGAGGUGGAGGGUAAUGCAUCCAGAGGAAGACGCUGAGGGUCAGGCUGGCCCUGGGUCUGACCUGUCCUUGGGAUCAACUGCUUCAUUAAAAAACAUCCGCCUAAACUGUGGAGACAGAGGAAGGAUCAGUGCUUGCCAAGGGCUGGGGGAGGAGGAACAGGCAGAGCGCAGAGGGUUUCAGGGCAGUGCCGCUCUGCGUGACGCCAUCACGGAGGGUCCAGGUCAUCACACGUCUCUCCAAACCCCUAGAAUGCCCAACACUCACUCUGAAGCCUUCUGUCAAUGUGGGAUCAUCUGUCGUAAAGUCUGCACCGCUGUGGUGGGGGCGUGGAUAGUGGGGGAGGCUGUGCGUGUGUGGGGGCAGGGAGUGUAUGGGAAAUCUCUGUACCUUCCGCUCAAUUUGGCUGCGAACCUAAACUGCUCUAAAAAAAGUCUAUUUUUAAAAAGCAUAUGCCCGAAAAGUCCUUGAAAAUGCAUCUUUCCCUAAAUAUUCAAAUUUAUGUUCAUUAAUAAAAUAGCACAUAUUUAUUCU